rnacentral:rRNA from 1 species
UACGAAGGGGGCUAGCGUUGCUCGGAAUCACUGGGCGUAAAGCGCACGUAGGCGGCUUUUUAAGUCAGGGGUGAAAUCCUGGAGCUCAACUCCAGAACUGCCUUUGAUACUGGGAAGCUCGAGUCCGGGAGAGGUGAGUGGAACUCCGAGUGUAGAGGUGAAAUGCGCAGAUAUCAGGAAGAACACCAAUGGCGAAGGCAGCUCUCUGGGACGGUACUGACGCUGAGACGCGAAAGCGUGGGGAGCGAACAGG